ensembl:misc_RNA Y_RNA Y RNA
GGCUGGUCUGAUGGUAAUGAGUUAUCAGAACUUAACAUUGGUGUCACUGAAGAUGGUGUACAAUGCCCCUACUGCUAAAUUUGACUAGCUUAAA